rnacentral:rRNA from 1 species
UACGGGGGGUGCGAGCGUUGCUCGGAAUCACUGGGCGUAAAGCGCACGUAGGCGGCUUUCUAAGUCAGGGGUGAAAUCCUGGAGCUCAACUCCAGAACUGCCUUUGAUACUGGGAAGCUCGAGUCCGGAAGAGGUGAGUGGAACUCCGAGUGUAGAGGUGAAAUUCGUAGAUAUCAGGAGGAACACCGGUGGCGAAGGCGGCUUCCUGGACAAUUACUGACGCUGAGACGCGAAAGCGUGGGGAGCAAACAGG